GGCGGCGUGCUUAACACAUGCAAGUCAAGGAGAACGGAUCCUUCGGGAUACUAUUAAACUGGCGAACGGGUGAGUAACACGUAGGCAACUUGCCUUGGAGAUUGGGAUAACCCCGGGAAACCGGGACUAAUACCAAAUAAUGCAGCGUAUCCUUCGGGAUAUGUUGUUAAAGUGGGCUUCGGCUCACACUUCAAGAUGGGCCUGCGUCCGAUUAGCUUGUUGGUGAGGUAAUGGCUCACCAAGGCGAUAAUCGGUAGCUGGUCUGAGAGGAUGAUCAGCCACACUGGGAUUGAGAUACGGCCCAGACUCCUACGGGAGGCAGCAGUGGGGAAUUUUGCGCAAUGGACGAAAGUCUGACGCAGCAACGCCGCGUGAUCGAUGAAGCUUUUAGGAGUGUAAAGAUCUGUCGUGAGGGAAGAAAAAUCUGGAUGUAAAUAAUGUUCAGACUUGACGGUACCUCAUAAGAAAGCACCGGCUAACUUCGUGCCAGCAGCCGCGGUAAUACGAGGGGUGCUAGCGUUGUCCGGAAUUACUGGGCGUAAAGGGUCCGUAGGCGUCUUGUCAAGUUGAUCGUUAAAUCCACCGGCUUAACCGGUGAUCUGCGAUCAAAACUGGCAGGAUAGAAUAUGUGAGGGGAAUGUGGAAUUCCUGGUGUAGCGGUGACAUGCGUAGAUAUCAGGAGGAACACCAAUGGCGAAGGCAGCAUUCUGGCACAAUAUUGACGCUGAGGGACGAAAGCGUGGGGAGCAAACAGGAUUAGAUACCCUGGUAGUCCACGCCGUAAACGAUGAGUACUUGGUGGUGGGGGAUUCGACCCCUUCACUAUCGGAGCUAACGCGUUAAGUACUCCGCCUGGGGACUA
rnacentral:rRNA from 1 species